CAACAAUACCCUCAUGUGUACCUUUUUCAGGAAUAUGUGGCUGUUGAAGGGGCACAUUGGAGACUAAGCCAUAUCAGUUUUUACCAAACUUUGAAUUUUGACGCUGCGCCCACGUGCAAGUUUCGAGCAUCUUAGCAGGUUUUAAGUUCAAACUACCCCACAAAGGCCUACCAUUUCUUAAAGCAGACACACCAGGGUAUUUCAAAAGGAAUAUUUUAAACCUUAGCGUAGGAUCAUAGUCUUAAAGUAGAGGGGCAAAGGUUUAAAAAUAAUAUCAGGAAGUAUUACUUUACGGAGAGGGUAGAGUAUGCAUGGAAUAGCCUUCCAACUAAAGUGGUAGAGGUUAACACAGUAAAG